ACAGCAUCAAGCACAGACCCAACCUUCCCAGCCUCCAGUUCCCCAUUCAAUGAUGUCAUGGAGGGUCCCAAACCAAAAAUUAGGAGGCUUGCACUACAGCCACCGGCAGCAGGAGACGCAUUGCCUUUCAAGAAUGUGGAAGAAUUUAAAAGACUGAUUUCUUGAGCUAAGGACAGAAAAGACAGACAGCGCAUUACAGACAGUGUCAAAACCAGACUGACGGAGGCAUUUGGCGAAUUAAAUCAAUUGGGAAUCAAUUUAACAUUUAUUGACGAUAUAAAAGAGCAAUCAACAAGAUCAAAAAGGGGGGAGCACAUCUUUAAUAAAUCUAAAUCUACAUAUUAAAAUUUCACUUAAAAAUAUUCACCUCAUUUGCAGCCCGCAUUUUAGGUACAAAUUACAAUGAGGAAGAAUUUAAUGAAUUGGCAAAACAUACACUGACUCCUGUGACAGAAUCAGAAAUUAA